rnacentral:rRNA from 1 species
AGCGUAGACGGUGUGGCAAGUCUGAUGUGAAAGGCAUGGGCUCAACCUGUGGACUGCAUUGGAAACUGUCAUACUUGAGUGCCGGAGGGGUAAGCGGAAUUCCUAGUGUAGCGGUGAAAUGCGUAGAUAUUAGGAGGAACACCAGUGGCGAAGGCGGCUUACUGGACGGUAACUGACGUUGAGGCUCGAAAGCGUGGUAGCAAACA